CCCUCCCCCACCUCCAGGGAGGGAAGAGGAGCGACAGGUUGAAACAAUCACCAGUGGGCAGACCAUGGAACUGGAACAUUCACAUCCAUUGUUCCCAUUGUGCACAUGGCAGAGACCCACGGACUCAGAGGGGAUCGUAGGUGUCUGGCUUAGCCUGGCCCUCAGAGGCAAGCACAUUGCCUCAUGGAUCAUGCAACAGGUACUCGAAGCGUGAAGUGUGUUCUCUGAAAGGACAGCAGAGGCAACAACAACAGAGCCUUACAUUUAUAUGCUGCUGACAAACACGAGCUCAUUUGAUCCUCAUAAAAUGUGUGUGAGGCCAGGCGAGAGGAGAAAAUUGCCAAGCCUUAUUGAUGCACAAGCACCAGUGUUUCUGUUCCAAUCCCAUGGUGCCUACAUCGUUGAACUCUGGUCCUGGAUGAUCCCACGUGCAGACACCACUUUGUGGCCAAGCUCUUAUUGCCCCAGAACCAUGUCAAGGCGGCUAGACAGCUGAUUUGUAGACGUCUCCAGACCCAACCACGUAUUGUGCUGGAAUCCACCUCUCCUGUAAAGCCUAUGGCCUUAUGCUCAUCGUGGAUCACCAGCCUGGACUUCCCUCUCCUUCCUGCAAAUAUAGAUCCGAUCUUGCAACUUAGCGUCUUACCGAGGAGGCUGAUGACCAGGAAGCCUGCUCACUGCAGAGAACCCCGGAGGGCUCAGAGCCGGAAGAGCCAGUUACUUCAGAAGGUUAUGGAAGGAGAAGGUCGCAGAGGAGGCACCACCUGGGAGACUGUAUAGGGGAAGGUGGAUCCCCGCGCCCCUUGCUUCACCCUAAAGGAAAGCCUGGUUUUGCUCUCUGGAAGCCCUGAGAGACGGGGGACAUGCACGUGAGGAGAGCAGGGUGGGAGCUGGGGGUGAACUAGGCGUCCACACGCUGCACCCACAGCCCCGUCCCCCCUCCCGACAGCUGCAGCCGGGGCCCCUGGGCCGGAGGUGCACAGGGUCCCUGACUGUGGGAACCUCCCCGAAAGCCCAUGGGCCACCCUCGCACCUAUGCUGACGUGAUUCGGGGUCUGACAGACGCUUCCGGAGCAGCCGGUCUUCCCGUGUGGAUGUUGGGGAGGAAAAGUGAGUCCGUGUGGCCCGGGGUUGGGGGGGCCCGAGCCCCUCGCGCACGCGGCAGGCCGCGGUGUCCCACUCACCCUCUGGGCCCUGCCCGCCCAGCCUGCCCUCCUCCUCCAAGUUCCUGCUUUGUUCCAGUUUCCUCAAGACCCCGAACCUCUCGCUUUGAGUCCAUGCUCACCGACGUGCUUGCAGAGUCACCUGGGUUUCUAACCAAGCCUUCUUUCCUUUUUAGGAAAGAUCCUUUGUAAUUAAAUCCUUAGAACUUGGAACAGGUCAGAAGACCUGACCAGGCUGGGGUAGCGUGGGGCGGAAGUGAGGACUCUGAGUGGAGUGGGCAAGAGGAGCAAGAGACGUGGUUUCAGGAACGCCAGCGUGAGCUCUGACGGGACAUCCGUGCACAUGGUGUGUGCUAAUGAGUAUACAUGUGCAAGCUCUUCCAGGUGUGUGCGUGGCCCUCCGUGCCAGCGUGGCUCAUGCCUUGCCUGCUGAUCCAGAACUUGGCUCAUGAGCUGGAUCUCUACGUUGGUGCAUGUGUACGCUAGCACGUGGAUAUGAUCUGAGUGGUACCUCCUUCGAUGUGUCCUACUUGUGCAGUGCACAACUGGAACUAUGUACUGGAAGAGGUGGCUGGUUUUUUAACAUAUCCCAGUAGGAGUGUGAACAAGCGAGCUUUGGGUAUACUAAGUUCGGUACUUAGAAGAUCAUACGUUAGAAAGGAAAACUUGCCUAACAUGUCUCUUCAGUGGCAGCAGAUCAUGGGUGGGUCUGGCGGCUUCUAAAAAGCAUGUGGGGCUCUUCUGUCUCUACGUGUAUAUCUUUGCGGUGUAUAUUUUCCCAAUUGUGUUUACAGGUUUUCAGAACUGGACGAUCCCAGACACACUUACCCAGGAACAGCCCAUACUUCAUACUUUAAGUCACAGCAAUCGGAGAAGGCCCGUCACCUCUAACAAAGAGCAUGGCUGAUACCCUGGCACCAUGGCACCUUGCCCAGCCUCCCCGGCUGAGAUAACUCAGUCGAGGGCGUUACUGCUCAGCGCAUUUCCCUCGGGGCCACUCACGGGGGCCACACCUCUCAGGUGUAGUCGGUUGCCUUCCAAACUGUCACGCUGGAACCGUAAAUAGUUAAUGACAUACGCCAUCCCAUAUGCUAGUCAAGUCAGUGUGACUUUAAUUAUUUCUCCUGGGAUGAGCUCAAGGGUUCAGAGAUUCUCAGAAAUUGUGGAAUAAGACUGUGACUUAAUAUGCAGCCAGACAGGGCGUGAUGGAUCCCCAGUAGGUUUAGCAGCUGUGGCCCGUCCACGGCGGAGCAGGGCUGUACGCAGAUGUCUCCAUGGUGACCUCCAUAACUCAGAGGGUGUGGGGACUUAGGGGUUCCCAGGAGAACCCUGCGGUUUCUCUCCUAAGGCCCCUGUAACCUGGCUCUCACAGGCUUUCAAAUAUAAGUGGCACCAGUUAAGACUUCUAAAAACCUGGUUCUCUGGUGUGCACACGCCGAGGUUUUGUGAACUUCAGGGAGGAGCUUUGGUACACGAGUGCACGUACGUGCACGUGUUAUGAAAAUGUGAGGGGAGCUUUGCAAUGUUUGCUUUAAUGUCUCACAAGGCAUAACAUGACCCAUGUGUUCCAUCUUAUCUACAUUUCCUAGGGUUGUAACUGUUUCUGUGGUAUCCAGUUCAUUUCCAAAAGUUCAAAUUUUUUUUCUUUUUCUGCUUUAUUACUUUCUUGUAAUAAUAGUCUUGUCUUUAAUGUCUCAAUUUUAUUAAUAACUGAUUCAUUUAAUAAGAAUUAUCCAACACUCCAUGUAUAGAAUCAUGCUUUAUGGCUAGACCUCAUUUAUGAAAAAAUGAUAUGGAAGGAGAAUUAAUUUUGAUUGAAGGUAUGAUAUUUAGUCCUUGUGCAGUUUCUCAUUUAAAAUCUGUACCUUAAAAAAUUGAAGGGUCAAAAAAAUAAAAAAAUAAAAAA